AAUCUCUGGCUCCUUCUCAGUUGUCGAAUACAUAUUUCGCCUUUUACUAAGGAUGUUCAUGGGAGGCGCACUCUAAUUAGUAUAAAAUUCGUUUUUGAAAGGCUUUUUGGUUGCAAACCG